rnacentral:rRNA from 1 species
CUGCCUGGAAGACCGGAAUAACCUGCCGAAAGGCUGGCUAAUACCGGAUAAGCCCACAGGGUCUUCGGACCUCGAGGGAAAAGGUGGCCUCUGUAUACAAGCUAUCACUUCUAGAUGAGUCCGCGGCCCAUCAGUUAGUUGGCGGGGUAAUGGCCCACCAAGACUACGACGGGUAGCUGGUCUGAGAGGACGAUCAGCCACACUGGAACUGAGACACGGUCCAG